AGGGCUGUUAUACGUGUUGCUAACACGCUACUC
rnacentral:tRNA from 1 species